AACUUUAGGGAGAAUUCAGGAAUUUCAUUAAAAUGAUGAUCGCUCAAGUUCCCUUUCAACUUCAUUUAAUAAUAUCCAGGACAAAAAAGCAAGUGAAGCAGAAACGGCUCACACUAAGAUUAUUUGAAAUACAUCAGUAACUAAAGCAAUAAAACCAAACCUCCCCAAUCCACCAAUUUGGUGGGUUGUAAAAAUGGAGGAUUUUGGAGUUUUGAAACCUCCAAAAAACUUAACCUUCCUAAAAAAACCUAGCUCCCAAACAAAUGUACCCAUUACUUUAAG
rnacentral:misc_RNA from 1 species